GACGAACGCUGGCGGUGUGCUUCACACAUGCAAGUCGAACGAGGUAGCAAUACCUAGUGGCGGACGGGUGAGUAACGCGUGGGAAUCUGCCUUAAGAUGGGGGGAUAACGAGCCGAAAGGCUCGCUAAUACCGCAUAUGCCGAAAGGUGAAAGGAGUAAUCCGUCUUAAGAUGAGCCCGCGUCCGAUUAGCUAGGUUGGUAGGGUAAAGGCCUACCAAGGCGACGAUCGGUAGCUGGUCUGAGAGGAUGAUCAGCCACAAUAGGGACUGAGACACGGCCCAUAACUCCUACGGGAGGCAGCAGUGGGGAAUUUUACGCAAUGGGGGAAACCCUGACGUAGCGACACCGCGUGAGCGAAGAAGCCCC
rnacentral:rRNA from 1 species